CAAAACACAAGGCGACUGUCACAUAGGCCCCAGGCAAACCGCCUGGACAACUAGGUGACGCCUUGACAACUAUGGUCACAAUUUGUAGGAGAGAGAGUUAUAGGAUACAAACUCGGCUAUAGAGUUCGUACAAGCUCAUUUUUCUUUUCUUAUUGGAAGAUCUGACUCAAGGGAAUAGGUUGGAAUAUUACCUGAAUCAAGCGGAGGAUCAGGAGAGGGUUCUUGGCAUGUCUUCUUUUCCCUCUAUAUACAAGUUACUCUUUUCCUUCAUUGUCUCCAAUGAACUCUAGUUCUCUUGUAUCUCCAUCCAAAACAACUCUCCCUGCCUCAUGUUCUUGAGCAGUCCCAACUUCUUUCAUAUUUCCUUUAUUUGUAGAUUUACAUAUAUCAAAAGAGGAGGAUGGAACAGGUGAAUAUUGGAUCAUGUUUUCCAUACGACUCUCCCCCUUAAAGAGUUGUCACAAAUGUGGGGAAAAAAGGAACAGAUUCAAAGAAGGUGACAUCCAUAGAGACAAGACUUUUGUGAGAGGGAGGGUGAUAACACUUGUGUCGUUUUCCAAUUGGAGAAUAACCCAGGAAAAUGCAUUUGGGGGCUUGGGGGUCAAGUUUGCUAUGCUCGAAUUUAUGAACUUGAACAUAGCAGACACAACCAAACACUUUUACAGGGAUGGGAAAGGCAAAUGAGCAAGAAUAUAAACCUCUAAUGGAGAGCGGAACCAAAGAAUAGUUGAGGAAGUAUGGUUGAUGAGAAAGGUAGUUGUUAGUAAAGCUUGGACCAAAAAGUUAUUGGAACAUGCAUCCUAAACAAUAAACUCCUAGUAAUUUCAAGCUAGUGGCAUUCUUCCUUUCAGCUACCCCAAUUUGUUGAGGGGUGUCAACACAAGAAAGCUGAUAGAGAAUGCCAUGAUCCCUUAAGAAUUUUUGUAGUCCUCCAAACAUGUAUUCACCCUCGAUCAGAGUGAACAAUUUUUACCUUUGUUUCAAACAAUUUUUGUAGUCCUACAAACAUGAUCACCCCAAUACACAUCCAAGGAGUUGAACACUUGACCACCCUGUUCUAAACUCAUGUUCACUACCGUUUCACUUAAAAGUUCAAACUUUUAGGGAAGGGCAGCAUCAUGCAUACUUCAAAAAUUUAUAUUGGUGAUUUUUUUGAUUGGAUACUUAGGAGAUUGUGUUAGAUUUUACUUCUCUUUCAGUUUCAGACUACAAUUAGAGAACUUUCGCUUUCUUUUUUUAAAUAUGCUUGCAAUCCAAUGAUGGAGGGUGGAAUAUAAAAUCAAAAUACCGUCGCGAGUGUGGUGUGAGCCGGUGGCCCUCUUCAUCUCUUCUUUCUCUUCCCAUUCUUGUUAUUACAUUCCAUAGCCCUGUUUCCUGCUUCCACUCCUCUGUCCAUCCAUUGUAUUCUUUAUCUGGCUUAAAUUUCCUUACCACUGGAUUAUUCUCUGUUACCAUUACUGUUGGACUGAACUUGGAUCUGCAGAAACUUCAUACGAGUCCCAAGUGGCCUGAAACUUUGGAGUAAACCCCUCCUUCCUAGACGAUGGAAAUACCAAGGUUUAUUUUACUAUAUUGUACUCCCUUUUUCCCAUAUUUCUCUUAUCCCUGCAUUUUGCUUUUAGUUCCAAGAUUACCCUUCCCCACUUAUGCCUUCCCUUCUAUUUAUUUGUUCCCUUCUUCUUGUAGCCUUGGAAUUUUAUUAAUUUACAGCCUUACCACUACUUGCAUUAUUUUGAGUUUCCACUUGCUAUUGUACAUUUAUAUAGUGCUGGACUGCGACCGAAAUUACAGAUUUUGCAUCCACCUCAUUAUUUGAGGUGUGAAGUAUCCAGAUGGACCCAUAAGUAAUCCAGACCUCACCCAUCUCCCUGCGAUACAUCUGGGUUGCAUUUUAAUUUUACUACUUACAUUCCCCAUCGCUACAAAGCAUUUUCUGGUGUGGACCAAAUCAUACAGACCAGCAGAGGAUGGUUUGCGACCGAUUAGUGGAGACUGAUUAUAGGCUAAGACCGACCGACUGUAUAGCAAAAGAUUUCAGUCUAGGAAAUGGAGACUGAUUAGAUAAUUGGUCAGUUUCGGUCUGUGCUCCAUUAUUAGACAUAAAUGCCAGUCCAAUAAAAAACGACUGGGACUGACCAAUUGACACACUUAGUAGGAGUUGAUCUUGAGUACGGUUGGCAAUAACUUGAGACUUGCUUAGUUGGGCCCCUGUUUGUUAGGGUUGGUAUGACCCUCAAUUUUUCUUAAGGUAAAUGCUGUGUCUGGUACAGUAAACCCUGAGGCUUCACCCUGGUUGCUCGAAUGAAAUUCGUGAGUCCUUGCAUGCUUGGCAAUUAAGCUAGGGUGAGGGUUGAUCAAUAGGGUCAGAGUUUCGUAUUGGUGAAAUCCAAUCCAAACUUUACCUGUUGACAUCUUUAAUUUUGAGCCCUUAAUCUCGAACACGGAUUUUAUUUAAAAUUGCAAUAGCCAUUGCUUCUUACGAUCUCUCAUCUAGCUUUCUCUCUUAAAAUGCUUCUUGUACACUUUAUCCAAGAUAGCCUUAUCUAGAAAUGCUUGAUUUUAUUAUAUAUUUAUAUUUGAAAUUACCCCAAGGGGGUAGCUCAGUUGGCAAAUAUCAACACCUCACGAUUAAAAGGUCAUGUUUUCAACUCUCCUCGGGUCCUACCUAUCGUAUCAUAUAUAUAUAUAUAUAUAUAUUUGAAACUUCUUCCUUACAUUUCGUGCUUUCUUUAUUUACCCUUCCAGAGGUUGAAUUGUCAUAUUUAACCAAUUCUUUCUUAGUGAAAGUAGUUUUACUUACAACUGAGCCUUUUUUUUUUUUUUUUUUCUUUGCAACUUUUUUCUGUCGACAGUCUGAGAAUUAUAUUGAGAAUCAGUUGCAAGAUCAAGAGUCCAUCAGUCUAAUACAAGAAAACAAGAAGCUCCAGGCUCAGUGCUCAGAAUACGAGAGAAGGGUGGAACAACUUAUUCUCAAGGAGCAACAGCUCAGAAGUGAGCUAGAAGAGGUCCAACUUGAGUACACAAGGCUUUUGGAUGAAUCACAAGCAACGGAUUCAGUAAAGAUGGAGAGCAGGUAAAAUGGUGGAUCAGUAAAGAUGGAGAACAGGUAAAAUGGUGGAUUUAUCUGUGUAGGAGCAACUACAGCUCAGAAGUGAGCUAGAAGAGGUCCAACUUGAGAGCGCAAGGCUUUUGGCUGAAUCACAAGCAAUGGAUGCACUAAAGGUGGAUGGUGGUUUUAUCUAUGUAGAAGCAACAGCUCAGAAGUGAGCUGGAAGAGGUCCAACUUGAGUACGCAAGACUUUUGGCUGAAUCACAAGCAAUGGAUUCAGUAAAGGUGGAGAACAGGUGAAAUGGUAGAUUCCCCCUGCGUCUUCCUCCUCUCCCCUUGUGUGCUUAUUCUUUCAUAUGUAAGUUGAAAUGGGUUUUUUUUUUUUAAGUAUGCCAGUGUAUCAGAAAUUAGAAUGUCAUUACACUUGGUGGGAUAGGGGGCUCAUCGACGUCAAAUUUUUCCGUUAAUAUGUUGUAAAAAUGUAGAAACAGAUUGUAAUUGCCACUGAUGUGAAUAUGGAAGUAUGUCAGCGCCCUUCCACUAAAACUGAUGGUGUCAACGUACUCCACCGCCUCCCUUGUAUUUGCUUACAUCUUGUCUGGCUUUUUUGGCAUGUCAACAUAUUGUUUGGAGUUUUAUCCUUAUGAAGACGGCAGACGAAACGACACCAAAUGCUGCAAUUUUUCAUCUCAGCAAUUUUUGGAGAUCCAACUGAGGCUCAGUUGCAAUGGGACGUUCGGCAGUGAAAAUAUUCAAGUCGAGUCUCAUAACUCUUUUUGAGGAUUUACUUAGAAAUUUUUUGACUCCCUUCCUAGCCAAGGAAUAGUAUGGCAUUGCAUCAGGGGAAGGUAUUGCCAGGAAUUUAUACUUGACAGCAUUAUCAGACCUGCUACCUCCAGAAGGACCAGAUCAAAGAAAAACUAUGGAAGGAGCUUGGUUCUUAGUUCUUACACAGGUCAGGUUUCGGAUUUAUUAGAGUUUGCAAUAUGUCAAAAUGUUGCCUUAAAAUCUGGUGCUACGGGAAAUUGCUGUGGUUGGAGUAAUAUUAUGUAUACAUGGAAUGCAUUUUAAUACAUGAGAGGGUAUUGGAUUGAA